rnacentral:rRNA from 1 species
UACACACACGCUACAAUGGGUGAUACGAACAGGUUGCGAAAGAGCGAUCUGGAGCUAAUCCCUAAAAUCAUCCUCAGUUCGGAUUGCAGGCUGAAACUGCCUGCAUGAAGUUGGAGUUGCUAGUAACCGCAGGUCAGCACACUGCGGUGAAUACGUUCUCGGGCCGUU